AAGAAGAAGAAGAAGAAGAAGAAGAAGAAGAAGAAGAAGAAGAAGAAAAGUAUUUUAUGCAGUGUACAGAGGGCACAGUUGAUUGAUUGGAAAAUACUUUCUCUGUCUAUUCUACUCUAGUGCCUCCCCUUUCAGAGCCACAUGGUUCAGAAUGUUUCCCAUAUGGCCUAGUUAAUCACAGCUGAGGACUUGGAACAUGCACUCAAAGUUAGUGAACUUAGUAACUGACAGAACAAAAGGUCUCUCUGAAAGGUCAUUUCAAACAUCUAAAUCACUGCCUUCCUGCCUUCAUAAUAGGGAGGAUCACAGCUUACUCAUUUGGAAAUUGAACCAGAAAUAGCUUUGUUUACAAGGCCAGACUUGCACAUUCCUUACCUUAGCUAUUUUGGAGGAUAUCUUGAUCUGGACCUGCUCGUCAUUAGAUUCCAGCCCUUCCUGCAAGCCUUGCAGUCUGUCCACCUCCAGGCAAAUGCCUAUAGUUAGCAAAGGGAGAAAGAGGCUUUUAAAACACAACAGAGUUGAAAAGUCUUGCUGUGUUCUAAUGAGACAGUAAUUCAGCUGUUGGAUGCUUUUUUUUCCCUCUAAACAUCUAGAAGGUCACAUGAUGAAGGGGUGACCACAAAAGCAGUUUCUACAGGUAGCUCCAUGCAAUGAUCUCAUAUUCUACGCAUAGAAGUCAUCUGAGGUGUGUUCUUUGCUCCUGUUUCUAUUUUUGCAGGAGAAGAAGCUAUGGCAGCACAGCAUGAAGCCAUUUGCCUGAGGUCACACAGAAAGGGCUGUGUGAAUUUGAACCUGUGUCUGUCUGACAAAAAUGCCAGGGGCUUCUUCUUCUUCUUCUUGAAGUUUCAUUCUGUGAAUCAUCAGAGAGGAAGGAGCUUCAGUUGAGGAAAUUCCUCCAUGAGAUACAGCUAUAAAGUGUUUUCUCAAUUAAUGAUCAAUUGGGGAGGAUCCAGCCCUUUGUUGGUGGUGCUAUCCCUGGGCUGGUGGUCCUGGAUUCUAAAAGAAAGCAGGAUGAGCUAGCCAGGGGAAGCCAGUAAGCAGCACCCCUCCAUGGCCUCUGCAUCAGCUCCUGCCUCCAGGAUUCUGCCCUGUUUGAGUUCCUGUCCUGACUUCCUUCAACGGUGGACAGUGAUGAAGGGCCAUGGAGGACUCCGGUGAGCAAGCAUGCAAAGUGGCCACAGUGAUUGCUCAGCUCUGGAGUUGGGAGAUUUACCCAUGGCUUUGCCAUACUCCUCCAUCUGGGACCUGAGACGAACCAGGCGAGAGUCUCAAGUGUUCCCACAAUUGACUAAGGAUGUAAUCUCUGCUUAAGGGAGUACUUGCCUCGAUGUCAUUCGUUAGGAUCUUCGAGUUCUGUGCAUCCGUGUCAUCCCAGAUCAUGGACCUCAGAAGUUUCCCCAGUGCAUCCAUUGAUCGUUCGUGGAGAAACUGAAAUCAAGCGUGACUGUUAGUCUCAGGCUGUCGUGAAAGCAGCCCCCGGGGAACUUUCCUCUCUUCUCAGUCCCUGGUCACAUACCUCAAUGCGCUCCUUGUCCUUGUCCGUUUCACCCCCACUUUUGAGUUUUUCCAGAGGUGGAAGGGGCAGCAACCUCCGAAUGUUCUCUUCAAGAAUGUUCAGGUGGUCGUUUAGUGAGAGCUGAGGUUUCAGUUUGCUGAGAUGAGACCCACAUGGAGGAAAGGAUACAAUUAAACCUGCCAUUAUCCUACUGGGAAAUGCUCAAGAUCUGUCCAUAAAAUCUGAGCAGGUGACAAAUAUGUGACACUUUCUGAAAUAUUUGAAAUAUUGAGAGAGGUGGUGGUAACAGGACAGAUUGGGAAGAUGUUAAGGACCAUUGAAACACUUGUAUUUGUUAGAGUCACGAUUGGUGUUGAUAAAUUCUUUUUUUUUUUUUUUUGGUGUUGAUAAAUUCUUAUUGUUAGCAUUUCCUGUAAAAAAGCAAAGUUGGUAAGGGAUGGGGCAAUUUGUCUCUCUGGCUUUCUUCCCUCUCUCCCUCCCUCCCUCCCUCCUAAACAUUUGCUAUAUAGUUAUCAGAACAAUAACUGACAUGACUUGGGAAAAUGCAAAUGUUAGGUAAAUAUGAAAAGGGUAUUCUUUAAAAUUUGUAUAAAUGUAAAUCAAGACAAUAGGUACAUUUCAGAGCUUCUGUAGUAGGAAAAAAAUAAAAAUGGAGAAUGUGAAAAAGGUACUCAGAGAGGAGUGUGAAUCAGUGCUGAGCUGGGAAGAUUGUUUACCAUCUUCUCAUUGUCGUUGUCUGAUGCUUUUCUUAAUAAAACAGGUGUACUGAUAUAAAAGUGCUGCACAAUACACUGCAUCUAUUCAAGGUCCCCACUUUAACAAAUUUGGACAUGGAGGCAUAAGUGAAAACGACACCAUCAUUGACACAUAACAUUGCUAGCAUCCCUUGAUUUUGUUUCUGUCAAUUUGUGGGCUAUCUUUUUCUCCACAUUGGCCCCACACAAUCAACACAUUUUUGUGUGUGUGAUUAGUGAUUAGUCUAGUUCUGCUCAAACUGAGUAUAGCCAGUAGCCACAUAUGGCCAUUCGAGUUAAUUAAUAUGAAUUAAGAUGUCAUGUGUGACAUAUUCUGCAUUUUGAAAAUUUUGAAUGAAUGAUAAUGUAGUUUGAAAAAUAUUGAACACAGGAUGAAAUGAUAAUAUACUGGAUAUAUUGAGUAAAAUGAAACAAAACAUGCUACUAAGAAAGAAUUUGAUAAUUUUAGUGCUGGGGGGAAGGGUUUUAUGCAUUCAGGUCAAGUACUAUAUUGUACUCAGCUGUUACUGAUUGUAGAAACUUGUUACAAUGUCACAGUAAUCAAAAUUGUGCAGUAUAAGUAUAUGGCUAGACUCAUGGACCUGUGGAGUAGAACACACAGAGCCCAGAAAUAAACCCUCAAAUAAGUAUGAUUGACUUUUGAUUUGGAUGCACACGUUUACUGUGUGCAUUUAAAAGUAUGAAACAUGGGAUAUAUAUAUAUAUAUGAAAACAUUUUCAUAUAUAUAUAUGAAAACGAUGUAAUAGGUAACUUAUAUAAUAGGUUAUAUAACCUCCCCACACUGUAGUAAGAUCAUCUAUAAUUUAUUCAUGGAGCUGAAAUCUUGAAUUAGCAUGCCAUUUGGAUCACAGCUGUUAGUGGGGCACAUUAUCUUCAGACUUAUUGUACAGAUAUCUGUAUUCUGUAUUCUUUGAUCAUCAUUGUUUUAUUUCCCUUAGCCUUGCCUUUAGUACCCAUUGUUUUAUUUUCUUUCUCUCUCUUUGUCUUUGAAUUUUUUCCUUAGAUUUACCAUAUAAUAGAGACCCAAUAGUACUUUUUCUUUCCAUGUCUGGUUUAUUUUAUUUGACAUAAUGUCCUCUAGAUGAACCCAUGUUGUGACAAAGAACAAGAUAUUUUAAUUUUUAAGCUGGAUAAUAUUCUAUUGUGUCUAUAUUUCCCACAGUCUUGUAAACACUUGUCUGUUGAUGGAUAGCUAGGUUGCUUUUCUACCAUGGCUUUCAGGAAAGACCCUGAGAUGAACACUGGAGUUACUUUUCAAGGCAGUGAUCUCAUUUUCCUUGGGUAUCUACCCACAAGAGGGACUAAAGGGUUAUGUGAUAAUUCUGCUUUCAAUUUCUGUUGAAACUUCCAUAAUGUUUUCUCCAAUGCACCAAUAUCCAUGCCAACAACCACACUACAGGAUUCUCUUUUUCUCCCAUCCCCAGCAACACUUACUUCUUUUUAGGUAAUAUAGAUCUUAAUGGGUGCAAAGUGAUACAGUAUUUUUGAUUUUCAUGUCCUUGAUUAGGAGUGAUCAUGAGUAUUUUAUACACAAUUGUUAAACACAGAAAUAAAUAAAAAUGAAAAAAAUGUCAUUUGUGAAAUAUGGGAAUUCACAAGAUGAAGUGAAAAAAAAAAUCAGUGUGAAAGGUCAUAUGGGAACAGGAUCUCAGGUCUGUGAAGAAAUUGAGGACCAGAGAUAAGGACAUAAAAAUGUUGUCAAAUAUGACAAUAGGGGCAUCUUGGGUGAGUUUUGUUAUUUUAACUUUACUUUUCAAAUUUUAACAGUAAAUAGUAUAAUUCUUUAACUGCACUGGAGACUAUAACUCUUAAAAACAUGAACAAAUUUAUUUUCUUUGUUGGGUUUAUCAUGGCUAGCUAACUAAAGCUGGAAUGUGAUGAGAUAUUUCAUAAGUUUUUAAUUUGAGGAUUAAAAUUUGUCUGUAGGCUAAGAUCUUGGAUGAGAAACUUCGUUUUGUGUAGAAAUUUGAGUCUCUUAUCUAUUAAUUAAUAUGACUCCUCUGAGUAGCUGUUUGACCCUGACAGUUAUCAAAUGACCAAUGUCUUAGCCAAUUCGGUAACUCUCAAGGAGAGAAAGCUGUUAUUUGUGAGCCCCACUAAAUAAAUGUGGUUAUUUUGGGGAGGAUAUACUGGAGUCUUCACUGACAGAUAAGUCAGUUGAUAGCCAGGAGGAGGCUGAAAGGGAGAAAAUAAGAUUAAGAAAGAUUUCGGGUGGAGUGGGUGGCUCACAAGCAUGAGAUUCUGAGUUUGCAUCCCUAGAACCCGAAGGAUGGACUCAAGAACCUACAUAUAAAAGCUGCAGCGGUGCUG